rnacentral:lncRNA from 1 species
AAAACAAGAAUGUGUCCAUAGUACACGGAUGCCCCACUCGCGCUAUCAUUUUCUAUGUUCAGUGGACCUUGAAAUUGGGGUCAAAAUUAUAAUUUGGAAUAAUAAUUAGAAAGAUCAUAUCAUAGGGAACAUGUGUACUAAGUUUCAAGUUGAUGUAACUUUAACUUCAUCAAAAACUACCUUGACCAAAAACUUUAACCUGAACUUCGCACUAUCAUUUUCUAUGUUCAGUGGACCAUGAAAUUGGGGUCAAAACUAUAAAUUGGCGUUAAAAUUAGAAAGAUCAUAUCAUGGGGAACAUGUGUACUAAGUUUCAAGUUGAUUAAACUUCAACUUCUUCAAAAACUACCUUGACCAAAAACUUUAACCUGAAGCGAACGGACGCACAGACGGACGAACGAACGGAGGCACAGACCAGAAAACAUAAUGCCCCUCUACUAUCGUAGGUGGGGCAUAAAAAUACAAUAUU